UACGUAGGGUCCGAGCGUUGUCCGGCAUUACUGGGCGUAAAGAGCUCGUAGGUGGUUUGUCGCGUUGUUCGUGAAAACUCACAGCUUAACUGGGGGCGUGCGGGCGAUACGGGCAGGCUGGAGUACUGCAGGGGAGACUGGAAUUCCUGGUGUAGCGGUGGAAUGCGCAGAUAUCAGGAGGAACACCGGUGGCGAAGGCGGGUCUCUGGGCAGUAACUGACGCUGAGGAGCGAAAGCGUGGGGAGCGAACAGG
rnacentral:rRNA from 1 species